AAUAUCACAUACCCACAAUCAAGGUCCUGGCUCUUCUGAAAUAGUCUGGACAAUCAGCAUAGUCCAUA
rnacentral:lncRNA from 1 species